CCUACGGGAGGCAGCAGUGAGGAAUAUUGGUCAAUGGGCGCGAGCCUGAACCAGCGAAGUAGCGUGAAGGAUGACUGCCCUACGGGUUGUAACCUUCUUUUAUAAAGGAGUAAAGUGAGGCACGUGUGCAUUUUUGUAUGUACUUUAUGAAUAAGGAUCGGCUAACUCCGUGCCAGCCGCCGCGGUAAUACGGAGGGUCCGAGCGUUAUCCGGAUUUAUUGGGUUUAAAGGGAGCGUAGAUGGGUUGUUAAGUCAGUUGGGAAAGUUUGUGGCUCAACCGUAAAAUUGCAAUUGAUACUGGCAGCCUUGAGUACAGUCGAGGUAGGCGGAAUUCGUGGUGUAGCGGUGAAAUGCGUAGAUAUCACGAAGAACUUCGAUUGCGAAGGCAG
rnacentral:rRNA from 1 species